UCAGAAACUCAAAGGAAAGUUGACGGGGCCCGGCGACAAGCGGUGGAGUAUGUGGUUUAAUUCGAUGCAACGCGAAGAACCUUACCUGGUCUUGACAUCCCGGAGACCCUUAGGAAACUAGGGGUGCUUCCAUCUGGAAGAAUCUGGAGACAGGUGCUGCAUGGCUGUCGUCAGCUCGUGUCGUGAGAUGUUGGGUUAAGUCCCGCAACGAGCGCAACCCUUGCCUUUAGUUGCCAGCAGUUCGGCUGGGCACUCUAAAGGGACUGCCGGUGUUAAACCGGAGGAAGGUGGGGAUGACGUCAAGUCCUCAUGGCCUUUAUGACCAGGGCUACACACGUACUACAAUGGCCGAUACAAAGGGCAGCGACACUGCGAGGUGAAGCCAAUCCCGUAAAAUCGGUCUCAGUCCGGAUUGGAGUCUGCAACUCGACUCCAUGAAGUUGGAAUCGCUAGUAAUCGUGGAUCAGCAUGCCACGGUGAAUACGUUCCCGGGCCUU
rnacentral:rRNA from 1 species